rnacentral:tRNA from 1 species
GGAUAUACAGCUCAAGUGGUAGAGUUCAUGCUUAGCAUGCACAAGGUCCUGGGUUCAAUCCCCAGUGUCUCCU